CCUAUAAUGCAGUCGAGCGAAUGGAUUAAGAGCUUGCUCUUAUGAAGUUAGCGGCGGACGGGUGAGUAACACGUGGGUAACCUGCCCAUAAGACUGGGAUAACUCCGGGAAACCGGGGCUAAUACCGGAUAACAUUUUGAACCGCAUGGUUCGAAAUUGAAAGGCGGCUUCGGCUGUCACUUAUGGAUGGACCCGCGUCGCAUUAGCUAGUUGGUGAGGUAACGGCUCACCAAGGCAACGAUGCGUAGCCGACCUGAGAGGGUGAUCGACCACACCUGGGACUGAGACACCGGCCCAGACUCCUACGGGAGGCAGCAGUAGGGAAUCUACCGCAAGGACGAAAGUCUGACGAAGCAACGCCGCGUGAGUGAUGAAGCCUUUCGGGUCGUAAAACUCUGUUGUUAGGGAAGAACAAGUGCUAGUUGAAUAAGCUGGCACCUUGACGGUACCUAACCAGAAAGCCACGGCUAACUACGUGCCAGCAGCCGCGGUAAUACGUAGGUGGCAAGCGUUAUCCGGAAUUAUUGGGCGUAAAGCGCGCGCAGGUGGUUUCUUAAGUCUGAUGUGAAAGCCACGGCUCAACCGUGGAGGGGUCAUUGGAAACUGGGAGACUUGAGUGCAGAAGAGGAAAGUGGAAUUUCCAUGUGUAGCGGUGAAAUGCGUAGAGAUAUGGAGGAACACCAGUGGCGAAAGCGACUUUCUGGUCUGUAACUGACACUGAGGCGCGAAAGCGUGGGGAGCAAACAGGAUUAGAUACCCUGGUAGUCCACGCCGUAAACGAUGAGUGCUAAGUGUUAGAGGGUUUCCGCCCUUUAGUGCUGAAGUUAACGCAUUAAGCACUCCGCCUGGGGGAGUACGGCCGCAAGGCUGAAACUCAAAGGAAUUUGACGGGGGCCCGCCACAAGCGGUGGAGGCAUGUGGUUUAAUUCGAAGCAACGCCGAAGAACCUUUACCAGGUCUUGACAUCCUUCUGACAACCCUUAGAAGAAUAGGGCUUCUCCUUUCGGGAGCAGAAGUGACAGGUGGUGCAUGCUUGUUCGUCAGCCUUCGUUGUCGAGAGAUGUAGGGUUAAGGUCCCGCCAACGAGCGCAACCCUUGAUCUUAGUUGCCAUCAUUUAGUUGGGCACUCUAAGGUGACUGCCGGUGACAAACCGGAGGAAGGUGGGGAUGACGUCAAAUCAUCAUGCCCCUUAUGAACCUGGGCUACACACGUGCUACAAUGGACGGUACAAAGAGCUGCAAGACCGCGAGGUGGAGCUAAUCUCAUAAAACCGUUCUCAGUUCGGAUUGUAGGCUGCAACUCGCCUACAUGAAGCUGGAAUCGCUAGUAAUCGCGGAUCAGCAUGCCGCGGUGAAUACGUUCCCGGGCCUUGUACACACCGCCCGUCACACCACGAGAGUUUGUAACACCCGAAGUCGGUGGGGUAACCUUUUUGGAGCCAGCCG
rnacentral:rRNA from 1 species